rnacentral:lncRNA from 1 species
AUAUUUGGGAGCCACUCUCAUUUGCACCUUGUGAGGCCUGAUGCAACUUUUUUGAAAUGAUCCUAUUCAAAAUAAAAAACAAUGUAAAUCAGUACCAAGCAUCAAUAUCAGUUUAUCAUAUCAUAGCAGUUUAGUACAGGGUAUCACUACCAGUUCAAUAUUUUAAUGACAAAUCAGUUCAAUUUAUGGUUUAUUUUUGUUCUAAAAACUUCUAUGAACAACCCUGCCUAUAGACUAACCUGAAUCACCAUUUAUGUCGUGGAUCGUGGCGAGACAUAAGUCAAUGGCUGUGAUGGAGAAUGAUUAGUAUCAAGUUCCGUUUAGUGCUAAAACAAGAAUUAAUUAUACAAUUCAAAAUCUAAUUUUCACCAAAGAUUGAAGAAAGUAUCCAUUAUGAGAGUUUUGACACCCAUAGAUGAUUGUUAUACACCCAUAGAUGACUGUUUAUAAUGAGUUACAAAUCUGAUAAUCAAAUUAGAUGGAGAGUUUCUUAAAUUAUAAAUGAAAGAAAUCAAAGAUAGUUUCUAACCUGACUUCCAAUGGCAUUUUGUUAAAAUAACAGGAGAGGAACCAUGAGAGCAGUACAUGCAUAGUCA